rnacentral:lncRNA from 1 species
GCAUGUGCACUGUCAGGAAACUGUGCCGACAGUGGGUCAACAUGUCCAUGGUCAUUACCUAGCUCGUGCUGCACCGAUGCUGCUGGUCGUUGUUGUUGAUGACCUCCAGCAUAGUUAUGUUCAUGUUACAGGAGAAGGUUGAGUUCUGCAAGAGAGACUGGACAUGUGCAUACUACUUGGUGAGUGCAGGUCAACUGGGACUCAUGGGACUUCCAGCGUGGAUGGAACGAGACGCUCAUGUCCCCGCCUUUCCAAAUGGUGACAUAAGUACCCCAGAAAUGUGCUUGCCUUAAAGAGAUAACUUUUUCAUGACAAAUUUCCAUUACUUCAACACGCUCCUUCCAUCUCCUUGAUGAUGUUAUAUUCCUAAACUCCUAUGUACUUAACACUUCUCUCUAUCGCACAUGAGCAAUUAAUUUUCUCUAAUGUUUCCAUUUGCACAACAGAAUAGUACCUUUAUUCCAUUACUCAUGUUGAUAUAUUUGUGCUCUCCAAGAUUUCAGUUCACAUAUCAAUUUUAAUCUUUGCAUGUAAAUUUUGAUAAUGUGUAAGGUUUAUAUGCUUUUAUCCCAUUGAAAACUUGCUUUAAUUCCUCGGAUGAUAAUCCUGCUGUUAAACCCAUGUCGUGUUUACUAAAUAAUUUGCCUCCUACAGUGUGCUUCUGUCGUAAUGCCUGAUUUGCUCAUAUGGACAAUAAUGACUAGAUCUAUGGACCCAUAUAUCAGUCGCUUAGAUAGCUUGAUUUUUUUCCUAAUCUAGAUUUGGAAAGAAUUAGUAAUGGGCAACAUCAUUGCUGAACUACAGUAUGGAUGUACUGUUGAUAUUGCACAUUGCAACCACAUGGUUGUCUUCUCGGGCUUUUGAGGCACGCACACCUAUUUAUGGUUCUGGUUCAAGUUUAGUUUAAUCUACAGUUACAAUUAAUAUUGUCUUUCAAGUAAAUUCAACAUCGUGUUAUCUCAUAUGAACAUGAUACAACCAUAUUGCAUAUGGAGCUUUCAACAAUUCACGGCAAUUCCUCAUGGUUCUUUUUUCGUGUGCAGGCCCUAAGAUACAUGUGUUGUCGAACAUGAGACUCCCUAAGGUGUGGAGCUAGAAGAGGUGGCGUUUCCAAAGGCAGUGCCAGCUAAUGCAUGGAUGGCCAACGAAGCUAAUGCAUGGAUUUUUUUUCCUCACAAAAAUAAAGAUGUCAAGGCACAACUUGCUGGGGGAACCAAGCAUGUUGACCAUUGCAAUUUGAACGCAUAUAUUAUCGAAAAUGGGAUGAUUUGUGUAGUUUUAUAGCAAUACAAAUGCGCUUUUGGAUGUAAAUUUUGCGGCAACACGCUUUGGGAUUAAAUGGAUGGGUGAAUGAAGAG